rnacentral:rRNA from 1 species
CUACGGGUCGCUGCAGUGAGGAAUAUUGCACAAUGGGGGGGACCCUGAUGCAGCAACGCCGCGUGGAGGAUGACGCAUUUCGGUGUGUAAACUCCUUUUAUAUGUCAAGAAAAUGACGGUAGCAUAUGAAUAAGCACCGGCUAACUCCGUGCCAGCAGCCGCGGUAAUACGGAGGGUGCAAGCGUUACUCGGAAUCACUGGGCGUAAAGGACGCGUAGGCGGAUUGGAAAGUCAGGUGUGAAAUCCUACAGCUUAACUGUAGAACUGCACUUGAAACUUCUAAUCUAGAGUAUGGGAGGGGGAGAUGGAAUUAGUGGUGUAGGGGUAAAAUCCGUAGAUAUCACUAGGAAUACCUAAAGCGAAGGCGAUCUCCUGGAACAUUACUGACGCUAAGGCGUGAAAGCGUGGGGAGCAAACAGGAUUAGAUACCCCUGUAGUC